rnacentral:rRNA from 1 species
AUUGAACGCUGGCGGCAGGCCUAACACAUGCAAGUCGAACGAGUGGCGGACGGGUGAGUAAUGUCUGGGCAACUGCCCGAUGGAGGGGGCUAAGUACUGGAAACGGUAGCUAAUACCGCAUACCAUCGGAUGUGCCAAGAUUGGAUUAGCUAGUAGGUGGGGUAACGGCUCACCUAGGCGACAAUCCCUAGCUGGUCUGAGAGGAUGACCAUCCACACUGGAACUGAGACACGGUCCAGACUCCUACGGGAGGCAGCAGUGGGGAAUAUUGCACAAUGGGCGCAAGCCUGAUGCAGCCAUGCCGCGUGGAUGAAGAAGGCCUUCGGGUUGUAAAGUACUUUCAGCGAGGAGGCGUUACUCGCAGAAGAAGCGCCGGCUAACUACGUGCCAGCAGCCGCGGUAAUUC